AGCUACUUCACGUAAGGCAGGGUGCCAGCUGUGCUGAGUGUGAUGGACUGGAGCUGCCAGGACCCUACCUGAGCUGCUGUUCCUGAGCUGGGCCCUGAUACAUGAGCUUAUUCACUGCUAAGAACUCUCCAGUGCCAGCAGCUCUGGGAGGUGUUUGGGUUUCGGCAGUAAACAGCAGAUAAAAAAUAUCUGCCCUGCUGGUGCUUAGAUUCGAAUGCGGGAGGCUGUCAAAAUGAACGGCUCACUGAAUAGUGUCAGAUGCUGGAAGAUCAGCACUCUGAAGGAAAAUGAGCUGAGGACGUUUGAGGCCUGGGGCAGCCGGGAGGAAGGGGAAGGAGGAAUCCGAACCAAGACCAUGGAGAAGCACCCCGGGCCCCGAUGCUGGGCGGCUUAGAACCUGGUUCCCCAGAGCCUCAGAAGGUAGCCAAGGCUAGGGUCAGGGCGCUAAGCCUCAGGAGUCAGGGCGCUCAACCUCAGGAGUCAGGGCGCUCAACCUCAGGGGUCAGGGCGCUCAGCUUCAGGGGUCAGGAAUGACGCCCUCUCUCCCUCUCCUUACCCUGUCUCAACUCACAGCAUUCCGGGUCCUCUGCACGUGCUGGUCCUCAAUUUAGGACCCUCGUCUUUCCCCAGAUAUCCAAGAGGCCUCCUCCGUGCCUCCUAAAGGUGUCUGCCCAAAUGUCACCCUCACAGGGGGUAAAUCCCCCUGGGGCGGUGAAGCUUCCACUUCCCUCCUGGGCCGUGGCCUGGUUUUGCACAGGUGAUAACGCCAUCUGCUUCCUAGAGCUCCGCUGCGCGGGGUCUUCCCGCCCCCAGGGCUGGACCUGGCCCAUCACCCAGGCAAACCCGGGACACCCCCUUCCCGCCACCCAGGCCAGGUCCCCUCCGCGCUCCGUGCUGCCCGCCCAGGGUCCGCGGCGUUGGGUUUCCCUGCACGCCUGGGUCUGGUCCCGGUCCCGGGCCGUCGUUCCGAGGGGUUGUCCAGGCCCUGAGGUCUGGGGAGGAACCGGACGCUGGGUCGCCAGCAGCCCGCAGGGCGCAGAACCGGCGCAUCCGCGCGGGGGGCGUCCACUCCCGGGGUGGGUGGCGCGCUCUCACCUCUCCAAGGCUGGAAGCUGCAGCCCCGGCCCGGCCACGUGGGCACGUGCGACUCGGGGAUGGAGCGACCCUCGCACGGGGCGACCCCCGGGACCCGCAACUCUGGGACCCUGCGACCCCCGGGACGGUGAGAUCCCCGCGGAUCUGCGUGGCCCUGGAGGUUGGCGGGUCGGGGAGGGUGCGGGUGGGGGCGGCGCCGGCCAAUCCGGAGCAUGGGACGCGUCAACCCCCGCAUCACCGCCGACCCCCACGUGGUUCCACCCGGAGGGCGACACGGCGGGGGCGCCUCUACCCUGCCAGCCUGGAUCCCGACUAGGAGCCCAACCUGGACCCCCGCAGAUCCGGGAGAUGAAAGCUGGGGUCAGUGAGGAGCAGUACAGCCACAGCCUGGACGAUACGCAUCUGCGCCAGCUGGCCCUGCACCCAGAGCCCACCUCACUCAGCCACACCUUCCACUGCAUUCUGGACCUCAGGCUGGCAUCCCCUGUGAGACCAGGGCCACUCACCUGAGCAACAGGUCCAGGAACUGCCUGGCUCUGGACCCGCUCGGAGAGGCCCCACCCCCACAGGAGUUUGUGGUGUAGGCACCACCCACCCAGCAGCACCGUCUACACCGCCAGCCUCAGGUGGCUCAGCCCCCACCCACCCACUGCCACAUGGCCCUUGGCCCUUCCUGCCCACCAGAUGCUGCCCCCAUCUCUGCAGCCAGCCAGCUCCACAGGCUCACCUGGGACAGGUGUGGAGCCGGCUCUGACAUCAACCUGGGAGGUGACAGACAGUCCCACACCUCGCACCUGCCGUAGGUGCACCCGGAAGCGCCUUCCGUCAGGUCUCCAGGGAGCAAGUCCAAGGUCUGGCAGGUUCAAAGCCAUGGUGUUGACCUCAGCCCCUCUCCCGUCCUAACCUGGGAGAGGUGACAGCUGGGCCCCGACCCUGGAGAGAGAGCUCUGACGUUUACACCAGCUCCCUGAGAGACAGGUCUCCCGAGCUGAGUUCACGGUGGCCAUCGCUGUGCGGGACCCAGGCCCCUUCCAGACCUGGACCCUCCUGCAGUUCCUGCUUGCGAGUGCUGGGCCUGCCACACGGAGGCCCCUCCUGAGACAAAAGCCCAGUGCUGUCACCUCAGACCCAGCCCAGACCCUCACCCACCACCCAUAUGAGUGACACCCAGAAAUGAGUCAAUGACUGCGCUUUCCCUUCCAAGUAAGACCCCACUGCCCCAGGCUGAAGCCAACUCUGCUACCGCCUCAGCCGUGACGCCUCAGGGCCCGCUCUGUUCACAGGUGGCUUCCUCAGGUCAUUGCCCUGGGUGGGAUGGGGCUGGUGCAGCCCAGAUGGGGAAGGAGAGAGGCUUUGGUGACACAGGGAGUGGCGGACUGGCUGUGAGUGGUAACUGCUCUGACCAUGGGUCAUGCAGCCUCAGCACCUCAGGCUGUGGAAGGCCUCCGGGGUGGGGUCUUCCCAGGGCUCCUCCUCCUGCACAAGACUCCAGUGCACGUGAACAGCUGCUGUCCUCUGCAUUUAGAGGAGUGGCCCGAGCAUCCCUGCUAGUCUCAGCCCAACACAGAGAACUGAGAGGCCACAGUGGCGCUGUCCUGUGCCCUGAACACCACUGUCCCCUUAACUGUCUGUGUGUGAUGAAGACCAUGCCGUGCCACCCUGCAACUCACCAGGGUGAGCUUGAGCCCCAUGGCCGGCUGCAGGGCCACGUGCAUGGUGGCCACCUCUUUGACGGGUCCAUCCGGGGGGCCUCUCCUUUCUGUGAAAGGAAUCGUGUGUGUGCCCGAGGCACACAUAAUAAAGAACCCGAAUUGAUGCCUCCUGUUUGAACCCGGGCCAGCCUGCCUGGGGGUCUGGUGAGACACCAGCUGUAACACUCAGGGCAUCAGCCACCAAAGGCUGCUUUCUAUAGACAGCCACGAGCCCCACUGCUGCGGAGGGCAAGACCACCCACAGUUCUUGUGCAAUGGGGAAGGGCACCUGGUGCUGGCUUAGGUGUGGGAGUGGGGGCACUUCCCAGAGGACCCUCCCAUUAGUACAUGACUGACUGCCCCAGUCCAGAGCGGGGACUGUCUGCUUCCUUCCAAGAAGCCAGGGCGAGAGCCCAGCCCUGGGACCAUUAGGGAAGGUGCACACCAGUAUUGGGAGAUGCAGCAGGUGGCAUCCGCCACAAAGCAGGGAUGAGCCAAGACCUACACCCACAUGUGCACACACACACACAGGGGCAAAGAGGCACACAGGCGCACACACACACACAUGCACGCACAUGCAUAUACACACGCACACAUGCACACACACACAGGCAAAGAGGCACACAGGCAC
ensembl:lincRNA